rnacentral:rRNA from 1 species
CUUGGUCAUUUAGAGGNAGUAAAAGUCGUAACAAGGUUUCCGUAGGUGAACCUGCGGAAGGAUCAUUACAAGUGAGGCUACCGAACGCUGGAAACAGCGGUUAGGAGCUUACACCCACCCGUGUUUACAUACUAUUGUUGCUUUGGCGGGCCGUGACCUCCACUGCGGGCUCUGCUCGUGUGUGCCCGCCAGAGGACCAAACUCUGAAUGUUAGUGAUGUCUGAGUACUAUCUAAUAGUUAAAACUUUCAACAACGGAUCUCUUGGUUCUGGCAUCGAUGAAGAACGCAGCGAAAUGCGAUAAGUAAUGUGAAUUGCAGAAUUCAGUGAAUCAUCGAAUCUUUGAACGCACAUUGCGCCCUGUGGUAUUCCGCAGGGCAUGCCUGUUCGAGCGUCAUUUAACCACUCACGCCUGGCGUGGUAUUGGGGUACGCGGUCUCGCGGCCCUCAAAAUCAGUGGCGGUGCCGGUGGGCUCUAAGCGUAGUACAUACUCCCGCUAUAGAGUUCCCCCGGUGGCUCGCCAGAACCCCCAAUUUUUUACAGGUUGACCUCGGAUCAGGUAGGGAUACCCGCUGAACUUAAGCAUAUCAAUAAGCGGAGGA